rnacentral:rRNA from 1 species
CACGUAGGGCGCAAGCGUUGUCCGGAAUUAUUGGGCGUAAAGAGCUCGUAGGCGGUCUGUUGCGUCCGCUGUGAAAACCCGGGGCUUAACCCUGGGCUGGCAGUGGAUACGGACAGACUAGAGGUAGGUAGGGGAGAAUGGAAUUCCCGGUGUAGCGGUGAAAUGCGCAGAUAUCAGGAAGAACACCCGUGGCGAAGGCGGCUCUCUGGAACGCAACUGACGCUGAGACGCGAAAGCGUGGGGAGCAAACAGG